rnacentral:lncRNA from 1 species
AGUAUUAUCUAGGGAUCAGAACAGGGGAGGGCAAAUGAAGUAGAGAAGGAUGCGGAAAAGCUAGUAUAAAGAUGUAAUAGUGACUUCCCUGGUUGUCUAACGGUUAAGAAUCUGCCUUCCAAUGCAGGGAACACACGUUCAACCCCUGGUCAGAGAACUAAGAUCCCACAUGCCAAGGGUAACUAAACCUGCGGGCUGCAACUAGAAAUGCCUGAGGGGUACAACAAAGACCCAACAUAGCCGAAAAAAGAAAAAAAUGUGAUAGCAAAGUGACUGAUAAAUGCACCACUUACGUGGCCUUGGGGUCCAUUCCCACUGUUUCUUAGGGCCACCUGGUGUGGGUCUCAAUGUGGCAGCAACCUGCAAUCUAUUCUCCUGUUGUGUCAUCUCACCUGUGAACCAGGCUCAAGUUCAUUUCUUCUCCACUGGCUGUAAAGGAAAAUCCUCAUAUGGCCCUUGAUUUGAGUUGGAGCCAAGAUGUGAGAACAAUAGGGGUGAUUGACAUGAAGUCUGAUUACCUGCUACUCUGGUGGAACUCCUGAUACCCUCUCUGCAAAAUAUAAUCAAAUGGAACUGCUACCCUGCAUUAUGGCUCAUUUCUGAUAACACAGAGUUCAAAAUGGGCUGUUCCUAAACCAAUUAGUCACUUCCUAAAACGCAGUUACUCAGUCUCUUUGAGGGCUUGGGUACCCUGGGAACUGUUUAUCAAACAGAGUAAUUUUUGUCCAUGAAGGCAUAGUUUUGCUCCAUAAUCCUAGGGGUUUGUGAUGUGCAUUUUUCUGUUGAGAUUUUCUAGGGACUCCACAGAGCACCCUAUUCCACUGUGGACACCUCUGACACCACUAUUGAAAUAACUGGCCAGAGGGUCCGGGUGACACAGGAGCAUACACCUCUGCCUGUAUGUAUGUCAGAUUCCUCUCUUACUCUAAGUGCCAGUCAAGGGUCUCCAAAUACAGGGGCUUGAGCAAAGGUAUCGUAUGUGCUUGUUCCAAAAUCCUGAGUGCAAGUGUUUGGCCUCUUUUUUCUUAGUGUAAGGUGCAGAUGAAACCACAUCCUUUGCCUUAAUGGCUCCAGGCCACCAGGUCCAGACAGUGUUAGUCACUCGGUCAUGUCUGACUCUUUGUGACCCACCAGGCUCCUCUGUCUUUGGAAUUCUCCAGGCAAGAAUCCUUUAGUGGGUAGCCAUUCCCUUCUUCAGGAGAUCU